UACAGAGGGUGCGAGCGUUAAUCGGAAUUACUGGGCGUAAAGCGCACGUAGGCGGCUUGGUAUGUCGGGUGUGAAAUCCCCGGGCUCAACCUGGGAACUGCAUCCGAAACUGCCUUGCUAGAGUAUGGGAGAGGGAAGUGGAAUUUCCGGUGUAGCGGUGAAAUGCGUAGAUAUCGGGAGGAAUACCGAUGGCGAAGGCAGGUCUCUGGGCUGACACUGACGCUCAUGCACGAAAGCGUGGGGAGCAAACAGG
rnacentral:rRNA from 1 species